rnacentral:rRNA from 1 species
UACGUAGGGGGCAAGCGUUGUCCGGAAUUACUGGGCGUAAAGGGCUCGUAGGCGGCCAACUAAGUCGGACGUGAAAUCCCUCAGCUUAACUGGGGAACUGCGUGUGAUACUGGAUGGCUUGAGUUUGGGAGAGGGAUGCGGAAUUCCAGGUGUAGCGGUGAAAUGCGUAGAGAUCCGGAGGAACACCAGUGGCGAAGGCGACACGCUGGGCCGUACCUGACACUGAUGCGCGACAGCAUGGGGAGCAAACAGG